rnacentral:rRNA from 1 species
AUUGAACGCUGGCGGCAGGCCUAACACAUGCAAGUCGAACGAGUGGCGGACGGGUGAGUAAUGUCUGGGAAACUGCCUGAUGGAGGGGGAUAACUACUGGAAACGGUAGCUAAUACCGCAUACCCUCGGAUGUGCCCAGAUGGGAGUAGCGAGUAGGUGGGGUAACUGCUCACCUAGGCGACGAUCCCUAGCUGGUCUGAGAGGAUGACCAGCCACACUGGAACGGAGACACGGUCCAGACUCCUACGUGAGGCAGCAGUAGGGAAUAUUGCACAAUGGGCGCAAGCCUGAUGCAGCCAUGCCGCGUGUAUGAAGAAGGCUUGCGGGUUGUAAAGUACUUUCAUCAGGGAGGCGUUACCCGCAGAAGAAGCACCGGCUAACUCCGUGCCAGCCGCCGCGGUAAUUC